CACCAUCUCUAGCUUGUAUAUCUCUUUAUAUAAUUAAUUAAUUAUACAAAAAAACUGAAUGAAUUUGGAAUUCCAACAAAAGAAAAGAGAGAAAAAAAAAUACCCAGAUAAGAAAAUAAAUAAUGGAAUUUAUAAGUAUUUAUAGACAAACUGAUCACUCCAAGAAAACCCAAGUCAAUUAAUCAAAAACCCAUUUUCAGUAAUUUACUAAAUAUAGAAAGGGGAUAAAGGGAUGGAAGUUGAUCUGAUCCAAAAUAGGAAAAACCAGACAAAAGGUCUUUCCUUUUUUGUUGAACUAGAUCUGAAAGGAAAGUAAGAAAAUAAAGGGAAAAAAAUUUGUCGAAAUAAGAAGGAAAGUAGAAGCAUCAAAACCCUAGUUAGGAAAACUUCAUAGGAAGAUGGAGAGAAAAUUAAAUAAAUAGAUUUUCUCAAUUAAACCCUUUUUUCCCCUUUCCCUUUUGCUAAUUGAGUUUGGACCAAAGAACAUGAAUGAUUAAAAGAAAGGUCAAGCAGGGACAAAACCUCAUCGUCUUUUUUCUGCUUUUGGUUAACUCACAAGUUGAAC
rnacentral:lncRNA from 1 species